CUGUACCGCCCACGCGCAGCACUCAGUACCCGCAGGCCCCGGAAGCCCCGAGCGUUUUCCUUCCGCUGCCUUAGCCCCGCGGGGAGACCGAGACUCUGGAGGAUGGCGGGCUAGAGGGGCAGGAAGUGAGCCCGUCGGCGGAGCCCGCGGAGGGUCUCCGGUCACACAGGUCAACAAAGAAAAUCAUCCUGUCUUCUCCUGCACAGUUAACAGGAGCUCUGAAGAAAAGCAUUAUCCUUUUGGUGACAGAGGUUUCUAAACCAAAUGAGAGCUCCAUCAACAACCAUCUGCCUCCUAUUUUCAGACCCUUGCCCUUUCCAAACUGGGAAUCUUCCUGGAACUCCUCACUUACAAGGGAUCCAAUGAGAUAGCACAGAAUCAUUUCUUAGAGAUAUAGGUCUACUUCUCCUCAUUCUUUCCGAUGAUCCUGCUGAAUCUGAAGAGUCUCCAGAAGUGAUACCUGAAGAUAUGCCAGCACUUGCCUUGUGAGCUGCAGAGUAAGCUG